GUCUAUAGCCACACCACUAUGAACAUAUCAAUCUCACCUGAUCUUGGAAGCUAAGCAAGUUGGCCGGGUUAGUACUUGUAUGGGAGAGAAGCAACUGAUCUCUUUUGAGA
rnacentral:rRNA from 1 species